CGGGUGAGUAACACGUGGAUAACCUACCUAUAAGACUGGGAUAACUUCGGGAAACCGGAGCUAAUACCGGAUAAUAUUUUGAACCGCAUGGUUCAAAAGUGAAAGACGGUCUUGCUGUCACUUAUAGAUGGAUCCGCGCUGCAUUAGCUAGUUGGUAAGGUAACGGCUAACCAAGGCAACGAUGCAUAGCCGACCUGAGAGGGUGAUCGGCCACACUGGAACUGAGACACGGUCCAG
rnacentral:rRNA from 1 species